UGCCGCUUAAAUAGCUUUUUAUGGAUCCGGCUUGGAGUCCUUUAACUUGGUUGAGGUGAAAUAAGAAGGAAGUAAAGGUUAGAAGAGAAAAAUCGGGAAACGGCAGGUAAUGCGAGAGGUGAAAUAAUUUGAAAAAUUUCCACGUGGUGUAGUAUGAUUGGGUUGUUCUGGGAGAAACUGCUUGCAGGAUAGAAACGAUGGACGUGACCAGAAGGGAAUUUCAACGGAUGGUUUAUGGGAAGAUUAGUAGAGAAUAAGGAGGUACUGGGGUUGGAACGGGGUCUGCUUCUGGUGCCAGCAUCCUGAAUCUCUGAAAAUAGAAAUGGGAGAGAGAGUCAGCGAUUUGUUGAGAACACCUGUGACGCGUUUUUCAUUAAUAAUGAACUGAUCGCACGCGGAGAACCGGAUGAGGCGUCUGAGGAGUGGCAUUAUUACAGGGAAGCUGCGACGACGAUCGGGUAAAGCUCAAAAAGGGCCGAGGAGGCUGAGGACUUGGGAGUGUCUAGCAGCUGGGGGGGCCAGGGAGAUGCGAACCAGCGACCUUGGCUCUGCAUGGAGGAUUAUUGAAGAUUGAAGACUAAAGAUUAUUGAAGAUGAUGUUUUUCGCAGGCUGGCGUUCUACGCCAGG